GACGAACGCUGGCGGCGUGCUUAACACAUGCAAGUCGAACGGAAAGGCCCUGCUUUUGUGGGGUGCAUGAGUGGCGAACGGGUGAGUAACACGUGAGUAACCUGCCCUUGACUUUGGGAUAACUUCAGGAAACUGGGGCUAAUACCGGAUAGGAGCUCCUGCUGCACGGUGGGGGUUGGUAAGUUUCGGCGGUUGGGGAUGGACUCGCGGCUUAUCCGCUUGUUGGGGGAGUAGGGGCAUACCAAGGCUUUGACGGGUAGCCGGCCUGGGAGGGUGAACGGGCACAUUGGUACUGCGAUACGGACCAGACUCCUACGGGAGGCAACGGUGGGGAAUAUUGCACAAUGGGCGGAAGCCUGAUGCAGAAACGCCGCGUGCGGGAUGACGGCCUUCGGGUUGUAAACCGCUUUCGCCUGUGACGAAGCGUGAGUGGCGGUAAUGGGUAAAGAAGCACCGGCUAACUACGUG
rnacentral:rRNA from 1 species